UACGAAGGGGGCUAGCGUUGCUCGGAAUCACUGGGCGUAAAGCGCACGUAGGCGGCUUUUUAAGUCAGGGGUGAAAUCCUGGAGCUCAACUCCAGAACUGCCUUUGAUACUGAGAAGCUGGAGUCCGGGAGAGGUGAGUGGAACUGCGAGUGUAGAGGUGAAAUUCGUAGAUAUUCGCAAGAACACCAGUGGCGAAGGCGGCUCACUGGCCCGGUACUGACGCUGAGGUGCGAAAGCGUGGGGAGCAAACGGG
rnacentral:rRNA from 1 species